UACGUAGGCAGCAAGCGUUGUUCGGAGUUACUGGGCGUAAAGGGUGCGUAGGUGGCUCUAUAAGUAUGGUGUGAAAUCUCCCGGCUUAACUGGGAGGGUGCGCCGUAGACUGUGGGGCUAGAGUGUGGGAGAGGAAAGUGGAAUUCCUGGUGUAGCGGUGAAAUGCGUAGAUAUCUGGAGGAACACCGGUGGCGAAGGCGGCGUCCUGGACCAACACUGACACUGAUGAGCGAAAGCCAGGGGAGCAAACGGG
rnacentral:rRNA from 1 species